AUACGGAGGAUCCGAGCGUUAUCCGGAUUUAUUAGGUUUAAAGGGUGCGCAGGCGGAACUGUAAGUCACCGGUGAAAUCCUACAGCUUAACUGUAGAACUGCCGGUGAUACUGCGAUUCUUGAGUAUAGUUGAGGUAGGCGGAAUGUGUAGUGUAGCGGUGAAAUGCAUAGAUAUUACACAGAACACCGAUUGCGAAGGCAGCUUACUAAACUAUUACUGACGCUCAUGCACGAAAGCGUGGGGAGCGAACAGGAUUAGAUACCCUUGUAGUCC
rnacentral:rRNA from 1 species